rnacentral:rRNA from 1 species
AAGACCUUGCGCUUUUGGAGCGGCCGAUGCCUGAUUAGCUUGUUGGUGAGGUAAAAGCUCACCAAGGCUUCGAUCAGUAGCUGGUCUGAGAGGACGGCCAGCCACACUGGGACUGAGACACGGCCCAGACUCCUACGGGAGGCAGCAGUGGGGAAUUUUGGACAAUGGGCGCAAGCCUGAUCCAGCCAUGCCGCGUGAGUGAAGAAGGCCUUCGGGUUGUAAAGCUCUUUCAGCCGGGAAGAAAAGGUUGCGACUAAUAAUCGCAAUCCAUGACGGUACCGAAAGAAGAAGCACCGGCUAACUACGUGCCAGCAGCCGCGGUAAUACGUAGGGUGCGAGCGUUAAUCGGAAUUACUGGGCGUAAAGGGUGCGCAGGCGGUUUUGUAAGUCAGAUGUGAAAUCCCCGGGCUUAACCUGGGAACU